GGGCUCAGGGGCGCCGGGCGCCGCGGCGUCGGGGGCCGCGCCCGGGGGAGUCCCGCCGGGCGUCGGUUCGGCGCCGGGGGGCGCC
rnacentral:tRNA from 1 species